rnacentral:tRNA from 1 species
AUUUAAGUAGUUUAAAUAAAAUAUUGAUUUGUGGUAUCAAUGAUGUAUAAAAUACCUUAAAUU